AUUGAACGCUGGCGGCAUGCCUUACACAUGCAAGUCGAACGGUAACGCGGGGCAACCUGGCGACGAGUGGCGAACGGGUGAGUAAUACAUCGGAACGAGCCCAGUAGUGGGGGAUAGCCCGGCGAAAGCCGGAUUAAUACCGCAUACGACCUAUGGGUGAAAGCGGGGGAUCGCUAGACCUCGCGCUAUUGGAGCGGCCG
rnacentral:rRNA from 1 species